GCUAGUAAUCGCGCAUCAGCCAUGGCGCGGUGAAUACGUUCCCGGGCCUUGUACACACCGCCCGUCAAGCCAUAGGAGCCGGGGGCGCCUGAAGUCCGGGACCGCGAGGACCGGCCUAGGGCGAAACUGGUGACUGGGGCUAAGUCGUAACAAGGUAUC
rnacentral:rRNA from 1 species